CAAACGUUGUUGCUAUGGUAAUGACGGGGGGAAAUAGGUCAUCGCAGCAUUUAUUUUUUACUUGCAUAUCGCGGGCGUAAGGAAUGCCUACCCCCCCUCCACUAACGUGUCACUUCUUUAAUUGCGGUAGUUUGGAAGGGGUGUGUGGAUGGGGAUGUGAUGACGUUGAGAGAGAGAAGAUGGGGGUAGGGAAGUGAAAAAGAAUUAUAAUGUAAUGAGCAAAGAACAAAAGACUCCGAGCCUUGCACACGUGACAAAAUCGAUAACAGUAAUUACACACACAGAUCCAAUCAGAGGCGGCCAUCUAAAGUACACGCGAGAGCUGCUAAGUGAUGCUGCUGGGAUUUCGCUCUUCAGCAUCCCGUGUGGGAUUCUAAGAGCCAGGCUGCCUCCCGCUCUUCCUUUUCUAAGGAUUCCUGCAGCAAGAAGCCCAUUUUUUGUUGCCCUUUUCUGCUGGCUUUUCCUCAAAACCUUCCAAAAGAUUAUGUGCUUACUGAAUUUUCUUGGAUGCUGAAGACGAGUGAAUUUACAGGAAAGAACGGGUGGAAUUAAAUUCAAACAAGGAAGAAACUUCCUUCCAAACGAUAUUCAACCUUCUUUGUGUAGAGGCUUAAGCAUUCUCUUCUUUUAAAGAAAGAGUUCAUUUCGUAGCAAUUGGAUCAAAUUCACUUGUGGAAAAGAAUAUCAUUCGACUUUUCGAUACAAUUCUCUCGUUGAUGUCUAUUUAGAAGAAUGCGACGAGAGAGGAAAAUAAUCGAUACUUGUUGUUCAAACGCAGACGAUAUUGCUUUCCUUUCGAAGCGAAGUGAAGAGAAGAAUUUUUAGUUAGGGAAUAUGGAGUUUCGUUUUAGCUUUGGAGGGAAGUGACUUCGGCGCAUGCGUGAAAGAGGACUAUGAAGAACAGAAGAGUCAAUUCAAAAUACCAGGAAGUCUGGUGGAUUGACAAACUUGAUAUCAAUAAAAUGGCUCUUUUUUUCGGAACGGUAUUCGCAGAUUGUAUUUUAUUUUGAAGUCUAGACAACGACGAUAAGAAUUCAAAAUGGAGUAAGAGAAUAUUGUAUAUGAAUUUGUUGAACUGGACCUACAUCAAAUUUAUCACGUUUUCUAUUUUUGACAGUAAAACAAGAAUUUAUGUUAAUUUUAAGUGUCCAAAUGACUUUUUCUGUCCAAAAUUCAAUAUUUGGCAAAAUCCACUCUGAUCAAGAAAGUUGAAAAAUGAAUGAAGAGCAAGUAGUACGAGGUUCUUCAUCCUCAACAGGAGAGGUAUUUGUUGUAUGAAAAAACUUUUCAAACUGCCAUUACCCGAACUCUCCAAAGUUCAGUUAGACUUAGAAGGAUGAUUCAAAUACUGGAAAAAGUUUUUUCUUCGUGCUUAUUUAAUCAAAAGUUUUCCAGAAACUAUUUGGGACUAAAGUUAAAAAAGAAAAAGUAUAGCUGCAUUUUAUGGCAAAAAUAGUUCUGAAUCUCCGAUUAUUUUUUUUGGUUUUUUUUUGAAGAAAAUACAAGCUACUUGGUUUUGUUUCGAUUCCUCUACUUCAAAAUAUCACAAGAAACUGCUUCUAUCUAAGUUAGAAGCUAUGUUUGCAACGGCUUAAAACUUUGAAAGACUGAACAAUGCAACUUUUAUUUAUUUAUUUUCCAAUAUGUUUGAUUAUUGAACUCAACAUUAAGGAACAUCAUACAGUUUCAUGAAAGUAGUAUUAUGAGGCUUCGUGAAGCUUAGAAUUUUCAUUAGCAGAAAGUCCUAAAAUUUUAUGAUAAAUUGAAGAUUCACUAGAAAAUGCAGGUUUUUUUUAUAAUUACCAUUAUGUUAUAAUACGGGCACUAUGAAUGAAAGUGAAAAUAGUGAUUAUGGAAUUCAAUAAGAAUAAUUUAAAAAGUCAAUCUGAGGAUUGCGAAUAUUAGUAGGAAUCGAUAAGAAAAUGGAUGGAAUAGUAAGAGUCAACAUGAAGAGUAAGAACUAUCGUUACGAAGAUAAUUAGAAUUAUUAGUUAGAAUUAACGAGCCAAAAAGAAUCAUCAACAGAUUUGAAUAUUCAGAGAGUAAAAAAUCGCUAUAAAAAUGAAUAUUAAAAUAGAAAAUAUCAGUGCGAAGAUAUAAUGAAGAUAAAAUCAUCAGGAAGAAUGUAUAUGAAGAAUGUAAGAAUCAUUAAUAAGAAUGCAUAUGGAUAUAGUAAGAAUAAUGUGUAAGAAUGUAAAUAAAGAUAGUAGGACAUCGAUGCACAACAAUAAGACAGAAUCAUCACGAAGAAUGAAAUUGAAGAAUGUAAGAAUCGAUAUGGAUACAGAAAGAAUAAUGUGUAAGAAUGUAAAUGAAGAUAAUAGGACAUCGAUGCACAACAAUAAGAUAGAAUCACCAGGAAGAAUAAAAAUGAAGAAUGUACGAAUCAAUAUGGAUAUAGUAAGAAUAAUCAGUAAAUAUACAUAUGAAGAUAGUAUGAAUUAAUUGUAAAAAUAAAUAUGGACACAUUAAGAAUUAUCAGUGUUUCAGUCCAUACGAAAUAUUCUACAUUCAUGCAAGGAAAAAGUUAGAAUUAAUUGGAAUAGUUCUGUAGAUUUAUAAAUAUUUAUAAACAGAUAGAUAUAAAGAUAGAACUCUAACCAGCACCUGUUUGAUAAGUUCUUUUGAUUAUUUUUGGAGAAAAUCGGAAAAUACCUGAUUGAUACAAAAUCCACUAAAUUAUCACUAAACGGAAGUUUAAUUUUAUUCAAUAAAAAGGCAUUAAUCUUUGAUUUAAGCAAAUGAAAAUAAUUUACAUGCAAAGUAAGAAAAAAAAAUUGAAGAAAAAGAAUAACAUUGAAGAAAAAGCACAAAAUUAAAAGGGUUUGUUUGAAAGUAAAAAAGAAAAUAUUUUCAACAUAUAUAAUUUUGCAGUUCAAUUUAAAUAUUUGUGAUAAAUUUCUCAUCAGAUCAAUUUGAACACUCUAUUUGUAUAUAUAUGCGUGUGUUAUAAUCGAUUCGGUUUUACUGUAAAAAAAAAAAACUUUGUGUGUUGAUGUAGAUUCGACGAACUUUUCAAAUCGCUGUCCUCGUAAAUUAAUUUAAAGAUGUUAAAUAGUGUAGUUUGCUGUUAAAUCUUAAAAACACUAAAUUAUAAAUGAUCAUAAUGCAAGAUUAAGUAUGAAAGUGUACAGACUUUAUUGUUUGAGAAAAACAUAUCGUAAAAUUCCUUCAUUUGAAACUGUACUUUGACUUCUGUACUGAAACUGUACUUCAUUUGAAAAGUACAUUGGCAUCAAUUCUCUCCCUUCAGAGUUGUAUCAAAAUGUAACAUAUUUCUCAUUCCAAAGAAGUUGUAUUUAGAAAAAUAUGAUAUUUUAGAGAGUAAAACAGUUUGAAAGCAAAAUUCAUUCUGGUUGGCAAAAAAACUUCUUCUGAGAAAAAAGCUUGCUUUCGUUGAUGUGUGUUCAGCUUUAAAGCCCGUAAAAGGUUUGUCUCCACGCUGCUGUAUAUAUAUCUUUCCAUUACCGGAGGAAGUGAAAUAAACAUUUCCAGAAUAUUUAUGUUGAAUUUAAAUGUUACUUAACACUCAAGUGAAAGGAUUUCAAAGGAAUGGAGUGUUUAAUUGCUGAAGAAAGAUUAUAUGGGCUGGCUGCAUAUAAACACCUGGUGUUUAGUUCCUAAUGGGGUACGAAGUAUCCAAUAAACACAUAUGUUGUACAUUAUGUAUCAUAGUAAGUGUAUCCAUUUCAUGUAUUUAUUUCUUCAUUUGUGUUGUAUAUAUUAUUGUGUCGAUGUAAAUAAAGAUGUUAUUUGAUGGUC